rnacentral:misc_RNA from 1 species
GAUGAAGAACGCAGCGAAAUGCGAUAAGUAAUGCGAAUUGCAGAAUUCCAGUGAGUCAUCGAAUCUUUGAACGCACAUUGCGCCCUUUGGCAUUCCGAAGGGCAUGCCUGUCCGAGCGUCAUUACAACCCUCAAGCUCAGCUUGGUGUUGGGCCCCGCCGCCCCGGCGGGCCCUAAAGUCAGUGGCGGUGCCGUCCGGCUCCGAGCGUAGUAAUUCUUCUCGCUCUGGAGGUCCGGUCGUGUGCUCGCCAGCAACCCCCAAUUUUUUUCAGGUUGACCUCGGAUCAGGUAGGGAUACCCGCUGAACUUAAGCAUAUCAAUAAGCGGAGGA